rnacentral:miRNA from 1 species
AAGUAUUAGGUUGGUAAAAAAGUAAUUGCAGUUUUUGCAAUUACUUUCAAUGGCAAAGACUGCAAUAACUUUUGCACCAACCUAAUAUUU